UAGGGAAUCUUCCACAAUGGACGCAAGUCUGAUGGAGCAAACCCCGUGAGUGAAGAAGGUCUUCGGAUCGUAAAGCUCUGUUGUUGGUGAAGAAGGAUAGAGGCAGUAAAUGGUCUUUAUUUGACGGUAAUCAACCAGAAAGUCACGGCUAACUACGUGCCAGCAGCCGCGGUAAUACGUAGGUGGCAAGCGUUGUCCGGAUUUAUUGGGCGUAAAGCGAGCGCAGGCGGAAUGAUAAGUCUGAUGUGAAAGCCCACGGCUCAACCGUGGAACUGCAUCGGAAACUGUCAUUCUUGAGUGCAGAAGAGGAGAGUGGAACUCCAUGUGUAGCGGUGGAAUGCGUAGAUAUAUGGAAGACACCGAGUGGCGAAGGCGGCUCUCUGGUCUGCAACUGACGCUGAAGGCUCGAAAGCAUGGGUAGCGAACAGGAUUAGAUACCCU
rnacentral:rRNA from 1 species